GCCGGGGUGGCGAAAUUGGUAGACGCACAGGACUUAAAAUCCUGCGGACCGCAAGGUCCGUGUCGGUUCGAUUCCGAUCCCCGGCA
rnacentral:tRNA from 1 species